rnacentral:rRNA from 1 species
GUACUCAACAAGGAAGUGACGGCUAACUACGUGCCAGCAGCCGCGGUAAAACGUAGGUCACAAGCGUUGUCCGGAAUUACUGGGUGUAAAGGGAGCGCAGGCGGGAGAACAAGUUGGAAGUGAAAUCCAUGGGCUCAACCCAUGAACUGCUUUCAAAACUGUUUUUCUUGAGUAGUGCAGAGGUAGGCGGAAUUCCCGGUGUAGCGGUGGAAUGCGUAGAUAUCGGGAGGAACACCAGUGGCGAAGGCGGCCUACUGGGCACCAACUGACGCUGAGGCUCGAAAGUGUGGGUAGCAAACAGGAUUAGAUACCCUGGUAGUCCACACCGUAAACGAUGAUUAUUAGGUGUUGGAGGAUUGACCCCUUCAGUGCCGCAGUUAACACAAUAAGUAAUCCACCUGGGGA